UACAGGGGGGGCAAGCGUUGUUCGGAAUUACUGGGCGUAAAGGGCCAGUAGGCGGCCAACUAAGUCCGACGUGAAAUCCCCAGGCUUAACCUGGGAACUGCGUCGGAUACUGGAUGGCUUGAAUUCGGGAGAGGGAUGCAGAAUUCCUGGUGUAGCGGUGAAAUGCGCAGAUAUCAGGAGGAACACCGAUGGCGAAGGCAGGUCUCUGGGCCACUACUGACGCUGAGAAGCGAAAGCAUGGGGAGCGAACAGG
rnacentral:rRNA from 1 species